UCGCAGAAUAAGCACCGGCUAACUCUGUGCCAGCAGCCGCGGUAAUACAGAGGGUGCGAGCGUUAAUCGGAUUUACUGGGCGUAAAGCGUGCGUAGGCGGCUUAUUAAGUCGGAUGUGAAAUCCCCGAGCUUAACUUGGGAAUUGCAUUCGAUACUGGUGAGCUAGAGUAUGGGAGAGGAUGGUAGAAUUCCAGGUGUAGCGGUGAAAUGCGUAGAGAUCUGGAGGAAUACCGAUGGCGAAGGCAGCCAUCUGGCCUAAUACUGACGCUGAGGUACGAAAGCAUGGGGAGCAAACAGGAUUAGAU
rnacentral:rRNA from 1 species